rnacentral:sRNA from 1 species
GUGUACCACGCGUACACUCCGGUGCUGAGCGCGCAUCCACGCCCACCUGCCGACUGCUCGCGACCUUCCGUCAGCC